rnacentral:lncRNA from 1 species
GAGGUAGUCCGAACCGAAAAAUAUUAUCUAAAAGAGCUCGGAGGAGCAGACCUUCCACGACCAUGGAAUUCGAAAAAUAUGCGAAUGUAUUACCAAUAGCUUUGCCUUAAAUAAAAGUUUCAUAUUUGUAUAUUUUUUCUUUUAGCAUGAGCUUAUAACGGCAGGAAGUAACUCCCUCAUACAAUCGAAAUUAAGCGUAUUAGGAACAGGAGGAGAACCUCAUCCUAACAUGAGCAAAGUCGAAGGUCCAGUUACCUAAAGAUCGGAUGGGGGGAGAGGCCCUUGCAACGGUCGUUAUGUACCCCCACAGCCUUGUUAGGAACAGGAGGAGAACCUCGUCCUAACAUGAGCAAAGUCGAAGGUCCGAUUACUUAAAGACCGGAUGGGAGGAGAGGUCGUUGCAACGGCCCUUAUGUGCCCCCACAGCCUUAUUAGGAAUAGGAGAACCUCGUCCUAACAUGAGCAAAGUCGAAGGCUCGGUUACUUAAAGACCGGAUGGGGGGAAAGUCCCUUGCAACGGCCUUUAUGUGCCCCCAC